rnacentral:rRNA from 1 species
AUUGAACGCUGGCGGCAGGCUUAACACAUGCAAGUCGAGCGGGGUGAUGGUGCUUGCACUAUCACUUAGCGGCGGACGGGUGAGUAAUGCUUAGGAAUCUGCCUAUUAGCGGGGGACAACAUCUCGAAAGGGAUGCUAAUACCGCAUACGUCCUACGGGAGAAAGCAGGGGAUCACUUGUGACCUUGCGCUAAUAGAUGAGCCUAAGUCGGAUUAGCUAGUUGGUGGGGUAAAGGCCUACCAAGCGACGAUCUGUAGCGGGUCUGAGAGGAUGAUCCGCCACACUGGGACUGAGACACGGCCCAGACUCCUACGGGAGGCAGCAGUGGGGAAUAUUGGACAAUGGGGGGAACCCUGAUCCAGCCAUGCCGCGUGUGUGAAGAAGGCCUUAUGGUUGUAAAGCACUUAAGCGAGGAGGAGGCUCUUUUGGUUAAUACCCAAGAUGAGUGGACGUUACUCGCAGAAUAAGCACCGGCUAACUCUGUGCCAGCCGCCGCAGUAA